UACAGAGGUCUCGAGCGUUAGGCGGAAUCACUGGGCUUAAAGCGUGUGUAGGCGGAUCGGUAAGUACCUUGUGAAAUCCCACAGCUUAACUGUGGAACUGCUUGGUAUACUGCCAGUCUUGAGCCACUUAGGGGCUACCGGAACAAAUGGUGGAGCGGUGAAAUGCGUAGAUAUCAUUUGGAACGCCAAUGGUGAAAACAGGUAGCUGGGAGUGUGCUGACGCUGAGACACAAAAGCCAGGGGAGCAAACGGG
rnacentral:rRNA from 1 species